GUGGUAUGGCUUAUGAAUAAAUACUAAAAUUUUGAAAUGACAAUCUCGCAAUUAUGACCGCGAUUUUUUUUACUAGUUGCACAUUAUAUACGAGUUAUUUUUGAGGAUGUUGGCAAUGCGAACACUUGAAUGAAAAUGGAAUCGACUGGAGUGCAAACUGGAUAAGUAAAGUUUUUCAAUUAAUUUCCUAAAAUAAAAUUCAUCUUCUGCAUGGAAGAAUUGAUUAGUACUGGCUUGUCAACUAAUCCUCCAUCAGGAUAAGAUCAUAGCAUAUUUUAUCCGCCCAUACUUCCAUCACUAUCUCUCACCACUAUGUUCCUUUUGUUUUUAUUCCCUUAGGCAAGAAACUGAAAUUUGACGGUUAUUAUACCAAUGAAAACAACCCCGAUUCGAUAAUGCGAUAAAUGCGGCGGCGGCGCUAUCGUAGCUCUGUCUUGUGCAUUUUUUCUCUAUAACUCAUAAGACAAAACCGCAUAUCCUCACAAUUCGCUUUUGAUGAAAGAUAUCCGAAAGCCAAAUUAUCAUAAGAAACCGAUUCUUCGAUACAAGGUGCUAUAAGCAAGUGCUUUAAAAAUGUAUGACUACGGCUGGUGACGGUAAAGAAAGAUAUUCAACCAUUCUUCAUGGAUGGUUAAACUCAACGAAAUAAUGAGUCUUUCCAAACGUUAACUACGUUCCAAUAAAUGGCAGAAGCAACAAAUUUCUUGGCGAGUUACUCCACAGAGUCCAUGGAGUUUUCUUUCUUUUCACUUACAUUUAUAGGGUAUCUAGUUAGCCUGCAGAAAUGUCCAAAAUGUUCUUGUACGGGCUGCAUUUUCUUAUUCGAAACUUCAGGAACUGCUAAAAAUACAGGCAUGAGUCUAUUGGUUCAAGUCACGAAAAACGGUCUUUUCGAGAUGGUUCCCUUGAAGGUGGUCCGAGUGUACGCACGCAAAGUGUAAUUUUCUUCUUUUAGUUAAAAAAAAGGUGAAUUUAAUUCUUUCCAUAUUUUUCGUUCUUUUUUAUCUUGUACAUGCCCUCGAUUCUCAAUUUCUUCGAUUCAUCAAAAAAAAAAAAAAAAAUACAAGAAAGGAAAAAAGCAACCUUCAAAAAAAGUUCAAAACCUUAGUUUUCAAUAAGAAUAUAAGCAGUCACCCUUUGCUACUUGAUUCAAAUGGUCUUGAGACAAUUCAACACAUUCGUUGCCAUUGGUACCACUUUUAGCAGACGUUAAAAUUCAAUUGUACGUUAAGCACAAUUUUUUAGAUUAAAAUAUAGAAUCUAGAAACUAAUCGCCAUUAUCAUUAUGUGAAGCUUAUGUUUAUUCGGAACAGCAUGGCAAACGUGUGUCGAAAACGGUAUAUGUGUACUGAUAACAGUG